UGGAUAACUUCGGGAAACCGGAGCUAAUACCGGAUAAUAUUUUGAACCGCAUGGUUCAAAAGUGAAAGACGGUCUUGCUGUCACUUAUAGAUGGAUCCGCGCUGCAUUAGCUAGUUGGUAAGGUAACGGCUUACCAAGGCAACGAUGCAUAGCCGACCUGAGAGGGUGAUCGGCCACACUGGAACUGAGACACGGUCCAG
rnacentral:rRNA from 1 species